rnacentral:rRNA from 1 species
AAACUUGAGAGUUUGAUCAUGGCUCAGAACGUACGCUGGCGGCACGCCUAACACAUGCAAGUCGAACGAAGUAGCAAUACUUAGUGGCAGACGGGUGAGUAACAUGUGGGUAUCUGCCCUUUGGCCUGGAAUAACACGAGGAAACUUGUGCUAAUACCGGAUAAGUCUUUACGGAGAAAGCUUUAUGCACCAUUGGAUGAGCCCGCACUUGAUUAGUUUGUUGGUGGGGUAAUGGCCUACCAAGACUGUGAUCAAUAGCUGAUUUGAGAGGAUGAUCAGCCACAUUGGGACUGAGACACGGCCCAAACUCCUACGGGAGGCAGCAGUGGGGAAUCUUGCACAAUGGAGGAAACUCUGAUGCAGCGAUGCCGCGUGAGUGAAGAAGGCCCUUGGGUUGUAAAGCUCUUUCGUCGGGGAAGAAAAUGACUGUACCCGAAUAAGAAGGUCCGGCUAACUUCGUGCCAGCAGCCGCGGUAAUACGAAGGGACCUAGCGUAGUUCGGAAUUACUGGGCUUAAAGAGUUCGUAGGUGGUUGAAAAAGUUAGUGGUGAAAUCCCAGAGCUUAACUCUGGAACUGCCAUUAAAACUUUUCAGCUAGAGUAUGAUAGAGGAAAGCAGAAUUUCUAGUGUAGAGGUGAAAUUCGUAGAUAUUAGAAAGAAUACCAAUUGCGAAGGCAGCUUUCUGGAUCAUUACUGACACUGAGGAACGAAAGCAUGGGUAGCGAAGAGGAUUAGAUACCCUCGUAGUCCAUGCCGUAAACGAUGUGUGUUAGACGUUGGAAAUUUAUUUUCAGUGUCGCAGCGAAAGCGAUAAACACACCGCCUGGGGAGUACGACCGCAAGGUUAAAACUCAAAUGAAUUGACGGGGACCCGCACAAGUAGUGGAGCAUGUGGUUUAAUUCGAAGAUACGCGCAGAACCUUACCAACACUUGACAUGUUCGUCGCGACUCUAAGAGAUUAGAGUUUUCGGUUCGGCCGGACGAAACACAGGUGCUGCAUGGCUGUCGUCAGCUCGUGUCGUGAGAUGUUGGGUUAAGUCCCGCAACGAGCGCAACCCUCACUUUUAGUUGCCAUCAUUAAGUUGGGCACUCUGAAAGAACUGCCAGUGAUAAGCUGGAGGAAGGUGGGGAUGACGUCAAGUCCUCAUGGCCCUUACGUGUUGGGCUACACACGUGCUACAAUGGUAUCUACAACAGGAAGCAAGACUGCGAGGUCAAGCAAAUCCUCAAAAGAUACCUCAGUUCGGAUUGCACUCUGCAACUCGAGUGCAUGAAGCUGGAAUUACUAGUAAUCGUGGAUCAGCGUGCCACGGUGAAUGCGUUCCCGGGUCUUGUACACACCGCCCGUCACACCAUGGGAGUUGGUUCUACCUUAAGGCAAGGUUUCAAACCCUUGACCACGGUAUAGUCAGCGACUGGGGUGAAGUCGUAACAAGGUAGCCGUAGGGGAACCUGCGGCUGGAUUACCUCCUUU